rnacentral:rRNA from 1 species
AUUGAACGCUGGCGGCAGGCCUAACACAUGCAAGUCGAGCGCGAAAAUUCCUUCGGGAAUGAGUAGAGCGGCGGACGGGUGAGUAACGCGUAGGAAUCUGCCCGGUAGUGGGGGACAACAGUCGGAAACGACUGCUAAUACCGCAUACGCCCUAAGGGGGAAAGCAGGGGAUCUUCGGACCUUGCGCUAUCGGAUGAGCCUGCGUCGGAUUAGCUUGUUGGUGGGGUAAUGGCCUACCAAGGCGACGAUCCGUAGCUGGUCUGAGAGGAUGAUCAGCCACACUGGGACUGAGACACGGCCCAGACUCCUACGGGAGGCAGCAGUGGGGAAUAUUGGACAAUGGGGGAAACCCUGAUCCAGCCAUGCCGCGUGUGUGAAGAAGGCCU